GAAAGCUGUGGAUUUACUAGGUAUGUUCGUUUUCUUUUGUUAUUUACUAUGAGUAUUCGUGACAAUAUAUAUUUUUGUGCUAAUUUGUAUUAUCAUUUUGUAAUGUUAUUAAUAUUUCGCCGGAUAAUAAAUUACAGAAGUUUCAGCUUUCGUAAUCAAGCAAAUUGAUUAGCUUGUGAGUUUUUGAAAAGUGAUUUCUUAUAAUCAAGCUAAUCGACUAGCUAGUAAAAUUUUGAGAAAUUUGGUCUUUGUAAAAUAAUGAGCUUUAUUAGAAGUUUCAUGAUAUUUCUUUUCUUCUUCUUCUUCUUACCGUCACUAUUUUUUUAAUCAUUAUCUUUCUUAUUGAUAUUUUUCUCUCAUUGACCCAUUUUAUUAAUGGAUUGAUUCUAUAUAGAUGUUUAUGUUUUUCCAGUACUCCUCACUUGGCAUAAAAAAGAAACUGAAAAAUAAGAAAGAAAAAAGAAACAAAGAUUUUGUUAUAAAACAAUAAAAGAAGAGAGAGUAUUCCAGAGAAAAGUAGAGAGAAAGAGAGUUUAUUGAUUUGGAAUGAUUUACAAUGAAACAAAACUUAGGGAAAAAGUGACUUAGGCACAAAUUAACAAACUCUAUCUCUCAAAAAUAUAGACAUUCACCUUAAAUGCAAUUAUAUUUAUAAUAUUCCCCAUGAAUGUCUAUUCAACAGAUAAUGCGCCUCGUUAAAACCUUAGCUAUAAUAAAACCCAGUGGGAAAAAAUUCUAGAGAAGGAAAAAGAGUACACAUAUCUAACAAUACGCAUUUUGGUUGCCUGGUUAAAAACCCUGCAAGAAAAAUCAGUGGGACAAAAUCUUUUAAGGAAAAAAGAGUACAACACAUAUUAACUCCCUCUGAUGAGACAAUCAAUUCACAUCUUUGAGCCUUCGCAUCCCAAGCUUGUACACUAGCUUCUUGAAGGUUGACGUCGGUAGAGAUUUGAUGAAUAAAUCAGACAUAUUAACUCCAAUGAAUAUGUUACACCUUGAAAUAAUCAUUCGUGAUAGAUAUAUAAUGUCUUCAUAUAAUGCCGUGGAAUGACCUUUUCAAUAUCUCCGUAGAGGUAAAAAGUAUCGGUAUCACAUUAUCAUGCUUAUAGUUAUAGCAAUAUAUAUAUAUAUAUAUAUAUAUAUAUAUAUAUAUAUAUAUAUAUAUAUAUAUNNNNNNNNNNNNNNNNNNNNNNNNNNNNNNNNNNNNNNNNNNNNNNNNNNNNNNNNNNNNNNNNNNNNNNNNNNNNNNNNNNNNNNNNNNNNNNNNNNNNNNNNNNNNNNNNNNNNNNNNNNNNNNNNNNNNNNNNNNNNNNNNNNNNNNNNNNNNNNNNNNNNNNNNNNNNNNNNNNNNNNNNNNNNNNNNNNNNNNNNNNNNNNNNNNNNNNNNNNNNNNNNNNNNNNNNNNNNNNNNNNNNNNNNNNNNNNNNNNNNNNNNNNNNNNNNNNNNNNNNNNNNNNNNNNNNNNNNNNNNNNNNNNNNNNNNNNNNNNNNNNNNNNNNNNNNNNNNNNNNNNNNNNNNNNNNNNNNNNNNNNNNNNNNNNNNNNNNNNNNNNNNNNNNNNNNNNNNNNNNNNNNNNNNNNNNNNNNNNNNNNNNNNNNNNNNNNNNNNNNNNNNNNNNNNNNNNNNNNNNNNNNNNNNNNNNNNNNNNNNNNNNNNNNNNNNNNNNNNNNNNNNNNNNNNNNNNNNNGGACUAAGAAUUGUAUAUGCUUUAGGCGAUUGAAAUUCUUCAGAGAUGGUCAUAUAAAUUAAGUCAUAUAAGCCAUAUAAAUAGACUUUAGAUGCAUAUCAAGUUUUCAUGUCAUGCUAGACAUAUAAGAUAGAUAAAAGUGAUUGCAUGCAUUAUUGACUUUUAUACUUUCAAGUGUUUGAACUGCAAGUCCAAAACUACAUGUCUUUCAUAUGAAAUCAAUUCUACAUGAAUUGUUUCUCUAGACUUAAGAUCCUCAUAUAUAUUUAGCGUUAUCAUAGAUGUAAUCAACGAACAUUGUAUAUCAGUUCUAACCACUUUUUUUCAUAAAGACAUGACAUAGAGAUCUCUUCAUUCAUAUUUUCAUGUACCUGAACCUCUCCUGGAAUUUUAUGAAGUAUUAUAUUAUGUGAUUUUCUAGAUCAUUUGCCUCCUUAUUAUGAUCAUUUUGAUCAUUUGCUCAUCUUCUUUGUCAAGAAUUUUAUUUGAGACCGGUUUGUCUAUACGCUUUAAGCGUACCAUAUAUUUUGUCUUUAUAGGACUUAUUCUAACAGGAGCAUUUGCAGUAAGAAUAUAGUUACUUUCUUUAGGUAAGCAAAUGCGUUUGGCAUGCUUUGCAACAUAUUGUAGAUGGAUUAUCUUUUUAUGAACUUCAAGUUCAUAUUAUCUUAUUCGAGGAUCUAGAUGUACAAAUGAUAAUUCAUUUCGUAACUAUUUCUCAACUGUUUAUCAUGUCUCCCCCUUAUGUUAGAAAAGCUAACUUGCUUCCUCAACUUUGGAAAUCUACCUUUGUGUGAUAUGGUGUUAAUCAAAAUAUACACCGCACAUUAAUAAUAAUAAGAUAGAAUUAUUUGGUUCCUGACCUUGAACCAUUUGUGAGGGAAAAAUGUAAGUUAUAGACAAACUGUCACGACCCAAAAUCAACAGUCGUGAUGGCGCCUAUCGUGGAACUAGGUCAGCCACAACUCAACAUCUCAAUACUGUAAAACACUCUAAAAAUAAAGGCAGAAGUAAUUAAUAUUUAAGAAAAAGCCUCUUGAAAACAGAAACAACCCAAAAUGCGAUUCAACCUAUAUCAGAAUCGGGGUGUCACAGAGUACACGAGCGUCUAACCCAGAAUACAGUCCACUAUAGUGUCUAGGGAAUAAAAAUCAAAAUAUUGAUAGAAAUAAAGAAAAAGAGUCAAUGCCUGCGAACGCCAUACAACUACCUCGGUAGUCUCCGAGAUCUGACUUCUCAAUCAGCAGCCGCCGUGACCAGAAGCGUCUAGAUCUGCACACGAGGUGCAAGGAAUAACGUGAGUACAACCAACUCAGUAAGUAACAAGUCCAACCUUUGGACUAAAAGGUAGUGACGAACUCAACCAGUACAGUUAACAAUAGAAAUAACAGUGCAGAAAUAUUGGCAUGCUUUCAAAUUAAAUAGAUAGCUCAAAACAGUGAAAUAGAUCAGAUCUGAACAAUGUGAAGAAUAUAACUUUUCUAUUUCUACAUGCCAAUGCACAUGCUGUAUCUGAUGAACCAUGUUGUCAGCCUCAUGUGCUCACACUGUCAAAUGCUCAACCACUCGAUACUGUAUAUGGCCCAUACGGCUCAGGGAAGAUCCAUCCCGGAAUAUAUACAUCACUGACCAUAAUCAUCCAAUACCGAGGAAGGCCAAUCCAUCCUUAUAGAGAAGAUCCAUCUCCAAGUAUCACGUGCUUCAGAUAAGAUUCAUGUCUAGGGAGAUCCAUCCCUCAAUAAUAUCAACUACACUCACUGGGGUGUGUACAGAUCCCGAAGGGGCUCCUACAGCUCAAGCGCUAUCAUAAAAUCAGUAUAACUGCUGCUGCAUGUAGCCCGAUCCCAUAACUGUCACUCGUAAUCAGGCUCUUGGCCUCACUCAGUCAUCAAUCUCUCCAGUCUCACUCGCAGACUCAAAAAGUCAUGAAAACUAGCCCGAAAUAAUGAUAUAAUGUAUCAAUAAAUAACAACUGAGAUUUAGAUAUGAUAUGAAAUGAAUAAAUAUGACUGAGUACGAAAUAUCAAUGAAAUCAGUAAGGUGACAUUAUUGAUACAUUAAUUUAGCAUGAUUGGAAGUUCAAUUAAUUUAUCACUAAUAAAAAUACGGAUAUCAACAAGAUAAAAUCACUAUACGAUACCAUGGAAUCAACCAGGUCACAAUUCUCAUGGUGCAUGCCCGCCCGCCCAUCGCUUGGCAUGUGCGUCACGUUAAUACCAAUCACAUAACAAAUAAUUCGGGGUCUCGAAUCCUCAGAACCAAGUUUGAAAGUGUUACUUACCUCAAUUCGGGCAGAACUCAACUCCAAAAUGGAUUUGCCUCUCAAAUCGGUCUCCAAACGUCCCAAAUCUAGCCACAAGCAGUACAAUACAUUUAAUAUAGGCUAAAGGGAUCAAUUCCACAAGAAAAGUACUUAAUUACAAUCAAAAAUCCGAAAUCGGCUCAAACGCAGCCCCCCGGGCCCACGUCUCAAAAUCCUACAAAAAUCGCAAAGUCCAAAAGACCAUUCACUCACGAGUCUAACCAUACCAAAUUUACCCAAAUACGAUAACAAAAUCCCAUUCAAAACCUUAAAAAUCUAUCUCAAGAACUCUUCCUCUUUUUUCUCAAUUUUCCACCCCAAAUCACAAAUUAGAUGAUGCAAUUAAAGGUAAAAUCAUGGAAUUUAGCUGAAAACAAAUUAAGAAUCACUUAGCCUAAUCGACUCCUUGAAAACCCCUUCAAGAAUCGCCCAAAUCCGUGGUCUCUAGCUCAAAAUAUGAAAAAUGGGUCCAAACCUUCGUUUUUGAAAUUUAACACUGCUGCCCAGAUAUUCCUUCAUCGUGAACGUGACCCUUCUCUCGCGUUCGCGUAGUAAAAAUGAUUCUAUCGCCAAAAACCCUCUUCUGAACGCGUCCAACCAACCGCGAACACGAUGCUUCCCUGGCCCCUUACUUCGCAAAUGCGACUACACUUCUGCGAACGCGUAGACCAAAUGGCUGGGGUCCUCAGCUGCCUCACUCCUCUUCGCAAAUGCGUUACACUUCUCGCGUUCGCGAUGCCUCUAUUGACCACACCUUCGCGUUCAGUCCUCUUCUUCAUGAACACGAAGAACAAAAUCUUCCCAGCUCAUAGACACCCUUCGCAAACGGGAGUCUCCUCUCGUGAAUGCUUAAGAGGAAACUAGAAGAACAAACUAGAAGAACACACCACCAGUUAUCAGCUAACAACCUAAGUCCAAAAAUGAUCUGUUAACCAUCCGAAACUAACCCGAGGCCCCCGGGACCUCAACCAAACAUAGUAUCAAGUCCCAAAACAUCAUAGGAACUUAGUCAAACCCUCAAAUCACCUCAAACAAUAUCAAAAAUAUGAAUUACACCCGGAUUCAAGCCUAAUGAACAUUGAAAUAUCCAAAUUCUACAAACAACGUCGAAACCUAUCAAAUCAUUUUCGAUUGACCUCAAAUUUUGCACACAAGUCAUAAAUGACACCAUAAACCUACUCCAACUUCCAAAAAAUCCAAUCCGACCAUGAUAUCUAAAAGUCUACCCUCGAUCAAACUUUUUAAAAUUCCAACUUUCACUAAUUCAAGCCUAAUUCUACUACGGACCUCCAAAUCACAAUCCGAACACGCUCCUAAGUCCAAAAUCACCUAAUAGUGCUAACGGAACCAUCAAAAUUCAAAUUCGAGGUCGUUUACAUGUAAGUCGACAUCCGGUCAACUUUUCCAACUUAAGCUUUCAAUUAGGAGACUAAGUGUCUCAAUUCACUCCGAAAUCACUCCAGACCCGAACCAACUAACCCAAUGAGUCAUAUAAUAGCUGUAGAACACAAACUGAGCAGUAAAUGGGUAAAUAGGGCUUCAAAUCUUAAAAUGACCGGCCGGGUGGUUACAUUCUCCCCCUCUUAAACAAACAUUCAUCCUCGAACGGGUCUAGAAACAUACCUGAAGUCUCAAAUAAGUGUGGAUAUCUGCUCCGUAUCUCCCUCCCAGUCUCUGAAGUAUCCUCCUCCACGGGCUGACCUCUCCAUUGCACCUUCACUAAAGCUAUAUUCUUUGACCUCAACUUUCGAACCUGCCGAUCCAAAAUGGCCACCGGCUCCACAUCAUAAGUCAACUCACCAUCCAACUGAACCAUGCUGAAAUCCAAAACAUGAGACAGAUCACCGGCGUACUUCCGGAGCAUAGAAACAUGAAAUACUGGUUGUGCACUUGACAACCUAGGUGGCAAGGCAAGCUCGUAGUCCACCUCUCCAAUCCUCCGAAGCACCUCAAACGGCCUAAUAAAUCGUGGACUCCACUUGCGCUUCUUUCCAAAUCUCAUAACACCCUUUAUGGGUGAAACCUUCAGCAGAACCUUCUCCCCAACCAGGUAAGACACGUCACAGACCUUCCUGUCAUCAUAACUCUUCUAUCUCGACUGUGACGUGCGAAGCCACUCCUAAAUCAAUUUCACCUUGUCUAAUGCAUCCUGAACCAAGUCUGUACCCAAAAGCCUAGCCUCACCCGGCUCAAACCAACCCACCGAAAAUCUACACUGCCUCCCAUAUAAAGCCUUAUACGGAGUCAUCUGAAUGCUCGACUAAUAAUUGUUAUGGUAAAUAAAUUCCACCAGCGACAGAAACUGGUCCCAUGAACCUCCAAAAUUAAUGACACAAGCGCGUAGCAUGUCCUCCAAUAUCUGAAUGGUGCGCUUGGACUAUCCGUCCGUCUGAGGGUGAAAUGUUGUGCUCAACUCCACUUGAGUGUCCAACUCUCACUGCACGACCCUCCAAAACUGCGAUGUAAAUUGCAUGCCUCUAUCUGAAAUGAUAUAAACUGGCACACCGUGAAGGCGAACAAUCUCACGGAUGUAAAUCUUAGCCAACCACUCUGAAGAAUAAGUAGUACCAACUAGAAUGAAGUGCAGACUUGGUCAGUCGAUUCACAAUCACCCAAAUAGCAUCAAACUUCCUCAAAGCUCGUGAAAGUCCAACUACAAAAUCCAUGGUGAUCCGCUCCCAAUUCCACUCCGGAAUCUUUAUCAUCUAAAGAAAUCCACCCGGCCUUUGAUGCACAUAUUUUACCUGCUGACAGUUGAGACAUCGAGCUACGAACCCAACGUUAUCCUUAUUCAUUCUCCUCCACCAAUUGUGCUGCCUCAAAUCUUGAUACAUCUUUGUGGCACCCGGAUGGAUGGAAUACUGCGAGCUGUGGGCCUCCUCAAGAAUUAACUCCCGUAGCCCAUCUACAUUGGGCACACAUAUCCUGCCCUGCAUCCUUAAUACCCCAUCAUCUCCAGUAGUGACAUCUCUAGAAUCACCACGCUGAACCCUAUCCUUGAGGACAAGCAAAUGAGGAUCAUCAUAUUGGCUCUCUCUGAUGCGAUUAAACAAGGAAGACCGAGAAACUACACAAGAUAGAACCCGACUAGGCUCCGAAACAUCUAAUCUCAUGAACUGGUUGGCCAAUGCCUGAACAUCAACUGAAAGAUGUCUCUCACCAACAGGAAUAAAUGAAAGACUACCCAUACUCACUGCCUUUCUACUCAAGGCAUCGGCCACCAUAUUGGCCUUUCCCAGAUGAUACAGAAUAGUGAUAUCACACUCCUUUAGCAGCUCCUACCAUCUCCGCUGCCUCAAAUUGAGAUCCUUCUGUUUGAACAAGUGCUGGAGGCUAUGAUAAUCAGUAAAUAGCUCACAAGACUCACCAUAGAGAUAGUGCCUCCAAAUCUUCAAUGCAUGAACAAUGACAGCCAACUCCAAAUCAUGAACAAGGCAGAUCUUCUCAUGGGGCUUUAACUGGCACGAAACAUAAGCAAUUACUCUACCCUCCUACAUCAAAACACAUCCGAUACCGAUCCGAGAAGCAUCACAAUAUACUGUAUAAGAACCAUAAGCUGAUGGUAGAACUGGAAUUGUGGUCAAGGCAGUCUUGAGCUUCUGAAAGCUAUCCUCACACUCAUCUGACCGCCUGAAAGGAUCACCCUUUUGGGUCAAUUUGGUCAAGGGCGAUGCAAUAGAUGAGAAACCCUGCACGAAGCAACGGUAAUAACCAUCCAAACCAAGAAAGCUCUGAAUCUUUGUAGUUGAGGACGGUCUGGGCCAACUCUGCACUGCCUCAUCUUCUUCAGAUCCACCUGAAUACCAUCAAUGGACACCACGUGCCCCAAGAAUGCCACUAAAAUGAGCCAAAACUCACACUUGGAGAGCUUGGCAUAACGUUUCUCCUCCCUCAAUCGCUGGAACACAACCCUCAAAUAUUGGGCGUACUCCUCCCGGCUACGAGAGUACACCAGGAUAUCAUCAAUGAACACAAUAACAAACGAGUCGAGAUAGGGCUGAAACACACCGUUCAUCAGGUGCGUGAAUGUUGCUGGGGCGUUGGUCAGCCCAAAUGACAUCACAAGGAACUCAUAAUGACCAUAGCGGGUCCUGAAAGCUAUCUUAAGAAUAUCCGAGUCCCGAAUCUUCAACUGGUGAUACCCUAACCUCAAAUCAAUCUUGGAGAACACCCUCUCUCCCUGAAGCUGGUCAAAUAGAUCAUCAAUGUGCGGCAAAGGAUACUUGUUCUUGAUUGUGGCUUUUUUCAACUGCCUAUAAUCAAGCACAUUCUCAUAGUGCCAUCAUUCUUCUUCACAAAUAGAACCAGUGCAGGUGACACACUAGGCCUAAUAAACCCCUUCUCAAGAAGUUCCUAAAGCUGCUCCUUCAACUCCUUCAACUCAGCCGGUGCCAUAUAGUAUGGAGGAAUAGAAAUGGGCUGAGUGUACGGCACCAAGUCAAUACCAAAAUCAAUAUCCAUGUAGGGCGGCAUGCCCGACAGGUCUGCAUGAAACACAUUCGAAAAAUCUCGUACUACCGGAACAGAAUCAAUAGUAGGGGUCUCUGCACUAACAUCCCUCACAAAGGACAAAUAAGAGAGACAAACCUUCCCAACUAUCAUAUAGGCCUUUAGUAUGAAAUCACUCUACUGGGAACAUAGUCUAAAGAACCUUGCAACACAAUCUGUGGCAACCCCGACAUCGCCAAUGCCACUGCCUUAACAUGACAAUACAAAAUAGCAUGACACGAAUACAACAAAUCCAUACCCAAUAUCACAUCAAAAUCAACCAAACUAAGAAGGAAAAGAUCAACUCUAGUCUCCAAUCCCCAAACAGUCACUAACACGACCGAUAUACACGGUCCACAAUAAUAGUAUCGUCCACUGGCGUAGAUAUAUGAAUAGAUAAAACUAAAGACUCACAGGGCAUAUCCAAAUGAUGAGCAAAAUAUGAAGAUACAUAUGAAUAGGUGGAACCGGGGUCAAAUAAUAUAGAUGCAUCUCGAUGACAUAUGGAGACAAUACUUGUGAUCACUAUGUCUUAAGAAAUAGCAUCUUGUCUAGAAGGGAGUGCAUAGAAAUGGGUCUGACCGCCACCUGAUCGGCCUACCCCUAGCUGACUAAGCUCCACCCCGAGUUGGCUGGGCAGGUGGUGAAGUAACUGGUGCUGAAGGCAUAGGCUGACUCCUCUGCGGAGCUGAACCUCUUGAGAGGCGGGGACAAUACCUCUUGAUAUUACCCAAAUCUCCACACUCAAAGCAACCUCUCCCUGCAAAUGGGGUGGGGAUUUAAGGGAGCCCUGAGCACCGAGAUAACUGCUUGAAGGCCCCGAUAUAGAUGAACCCUGAGCUGAUGGUGCAUGAGACGAACUCUGAGCUGGAAGGGCACUGAGAGAUGAGUGACCCUAAUGAGAACUGUGAGAACCAUGGACAAAUGAUGCACCACGGUGAACUGGGCGAGCCGUCUGAGCAUGCUUAUAAGGACGACCUAUGUCGUGGUGGAACUGAUCUCCAGAAGGAACACCACCAAAACUACCUAAUCCAUGAGAUCUAUUAUCCUCCCUCUCGACCCACUCUUGGUUGUGCACCAACUCUAUUUGUCGAGCAAUGUCAACAACCUCAUCAAAAGUAGCACCAGACACCCUCUCUUUAGUUAUAAGUAGCCGCAGUUGAAAUGUGAGGCCAUCAAUUAACCUCAUGAUCCUCUCCCUAUCAGCGGGAACAAAAUCGCAUGACGGGCCAACUCAGAAAACCUCAUCUCAUACUGCAUCACAGUUAUUAUCAUCCUGACGCAACUGCUCAAACUGUCUGCACAGAUCCUCUCUACGAGACUGCAGCAUGAACUUCUUUAAUAAGGGAAUGGUGAACUCCUGCCAGGUAAGUGGUGCUGCAACGAUCAGCCUACGCCUCUCAUAAGCCUCUUACCAACUGAAAGCAGCUCCAGAGAACUAAAAAGUAGUGAACGAGACCCCAUGGGUCUCCAAAGUACUUGUUGUACGUCGCAUCCUCUGACACUUAUCCAAUAAGCCUUGUGUAUCCUCCGCCUUUGUACCACUGAAAGAUGGAGGCUGGAGUCUCCCAAACCUCUCCAAUCUACGCUGCUCAUCAUCAGGCAUGACAGGAAUCACAUAGUCCUGAGCAGCUGCAACCGGUUGGGUUGGUGGUUCCCUCGGUGUCUAGAGUCCCUGCAUCACCUGCUCUGGUAUGCGGACGGCAGGAGUCUAAGUACCUCCCCCUGCUUGAGAAGUGGUUGUUGCGACCGGAACAGACACUGUCUGAGCAAGACUGGUGCAAACGAUCAGAAUUUGAGCUAAGGCCUCCUAAAGGCCUGGAAUCACAAUGGGCGCGGGCGGUGCCUAAGCUGGCCCCACUUGCACAUCGACAACUGGGACCUGCUCUUGAACUGGAAAAACUGGUAGAUCUGUAGGUGCCUCCCUAGCUGAUGUGCAAGAUGUACCUAUGCCCCUACCGCGCCCUCUACCAUGACUUUGGCCUCUCGCAGCCCUAGCUGGUGGUACUGGCGACUGUCCGUGAAAUCAGUAAGGUGAUAGCAAGAAACGAUCCUUCUGGGUCUCAACAAUACCGGCAUAAAGCCUAAAUAUGAUAUCUAGCAUGAUUGGCAAUACAAUUACUUUAUCACAUAAUGAAAACACAGAUAUCAAUAAGAUAAAAUCACUAUAUCGUACCAUAGAAUCAACCAGGUCACAAUUAUCAUGGUGCACGCCCACACGCCCGUCACUUGGCAUGUGCGUCACCUCAAUAUCAAACACAUAACACAUAAUUCGGGGUCUCAAACCCUCAGAACCAAGUUUGAAAGUGUUACUUACCUCAAUUCAAGCAAAACUUUACUCCAAAAUGCUUUUGCCUCUCAAAUCGGUCUCCAAAUAUCCCCGAAUCUAGCCAAAAAUAGUACAAUACAACUAAUAUAGGCUAACGGGAUCAAUUUCACAAGAAAAGUACUAAAUUAUAGCCAAAAAUCCGAAAUCGGCUCAAAUCGGGUUCACGUCUCAAAAUCUGAUAAAAAUCACAAAACGCGAAAGCCCAUUCACUCACGAGUCUAACCAUAACAAAUUUACCAAAAUCCGAUAACAAAAUCCCAAUCAAAACCUCAAAAAUCUAUCUUAAGAACUCUUCCUCUUUUUCCCAAUUUCCACCUCAAAUCUCAAAUUAGAUGAUGGAAUUAAAGGUAAAAUCAUGGAAUUUAGUUAAAACGAAGUAAGAAUCACUUAUCCCAGUCGACUCCUUGAAACCCCUUUCAAGAAUCACACAAAUCCGUGGUCUCUAGCUCAAAAUAUAAAAAAUGGGUCCAAACUCUCGUUUUUGAAAUUUAACACUGCUCCCCAGAUAUUCCUUCAUCGUGAACACACCCCUUCCCUCGCGUUCGCGUAGUACAAAUGAUUCUUCGCCAAAAACCCUCUUCGCGAACGCGUCCAACCAGCCGCGAACACAAUUCUUCGCUGACCCCUCACUUCGCGAACGCGACUACACUUCCGCAAAUGCGUAGACCAAAUGGAUGGGUCCCCAGUUGCCUCACUCCUCUUCGCGAAUGCAUUACACUUCUCGCGUUCGCGAUGCCUCUACUGACCACACCUUCGCGUUCGCACCCUAUUCUUCGCAAACGCGAAAAACAAAAUCUUCCCUGCUCACAGAUACCCUUGGCGAACGCGAGACUCCUCUCACGAAUGCAUAAGAGGAAACCAGAAGAACACACCAACAAUUAUCAGCCAACAACCCAAGUCUAAAAAUCAUCUGUUAGCUAUCCGAAAUCCACCCGAGGCCCCUAGGACCUCAACCAAACAUACAUUCAAGUCCAAAAAUAUAAUACAAACUUAGUGGAACCCUCAAAUUACCUCAAACAACAUAAAAACACGAAUUACACUUAGAUUCAAGCCUAAUGAACUUUAAAAUUUCUAAAUUCUACAGACAACGUCGAAACCUAUCAAAUCACGUUCGAUUGACCUCAAAAUUUGUAGACAAGUUAUAAAUGACACCGUGAACCUACUCCAACUUCCGUAAAUCCAAUCCGAACUCGAUAUCAAAAAGUCCACCCUCGAUCAAACUUCCCAAAAUUCUAACUUUUGCCAAUUGAAGCAUAAUUCUACUACGGACCUCCAAAUCAUAAUCCGGACAUGCUCCUAAGUCCAAAUCACCUAAAGGAGCUAACGGAACCAUCAAAAUUCAAAUUUGAAGUCGUUUACACAUAAGUUGACAUACAAUCAACUUUUCCAACUUAAGCUUUCAAUUAGGAGACUAAGUAUCUCAAUUCACUCCUAAAUCACUCCGGACCGGAACCAACUAACCCAGUAAGUCAUAUAAUAGUUGUAGAACAUAAAAGGAGCAGUAAAUAGGGAAACAAGGCUACAACUCUCAAAACGAUCGGCCGGGUUGUUACACAAAUACCAGGUUGCGGUUUAAUAAUCGCUCAUGUAACCAUCUCAUAGAUGUAUCUUAUAUGAUAUUUCCAGUAUUCGUGGAAUUCAAUCCCAAUUUUAGUUGGUCUAUUAAUUAAUUAGAACAAGUAAUAUAAAAGAAUUCGUAAAGAUUUUUCUAGUUCUUUAAUAUUUACCCAUGUGAAUUCUCUUUUAUUUUUCACAUCAUAUUUUAAUUAAUAUGGCUAAACCAAUUAUGCCACCUGGAUAAAUUAUCAAUAUUUAUAAACUUUAGGUUUACACAAUGACGUGUGCAAUUAUGAAUAAACUCCAAAUUUAUUAUGAUAUAGUUUUUUAUAUCAAUAAACUUCUACUUUAUUGUGUCAUUCUUUUAUUUAUGUAGUACAAAUUGGGGAAUAAAGCGGGUAUCUUUUCACUUGCCAUAUUACCCCGCUACAAGUUGUAGUAAUAGAAGAUUAAAUCUUUCUUUUAUUUUUGUAAUGACCCGAUCGGGUGUCUUGAGAAUUUGCACUUCGCUCGGUAGUUUGAGUAUAUGAGUAGCUCCGUAUGAUGUAUUAUAACUUGUGUAAAUCAUCGAUUUGUGUUUUCAGGUUAUUCGAAAUCGAUUUGGAAGAAUGGAUUCCAAGAUUUAAGCUUAAGUUGGAAGAAUUGAGAAAGUUUGACUUUUUGGUAUUUGACCUUGGAUUAGAGUUUUGAUUAUCCCAUCAGGUCCGGAUAGUAAUUUUGGACUCGGACAUAUGCCCAGAUUUGCAUUGGAUAUUUCUAGAAGGUUUCGACACAAACUGGCAAAAAUUGGAACUUGAAGGUUUGGAAAAGUUUAUAAGUUUGAUCGAGAGUUAACUUUGAUGAUAUCAGAUUCGGAUUGUGGUUUUGGGAAUUGAAAUAUCUUUGUUAUGUUAUUUGGGACUUGUGUGCAAAAUUUGAGUUCAUUCCGAGUUGAUUUGAUAUGUUUCGGCGCGAGUUUUGAAAUUUGAAAGUUGAAAGUUCAUUAAGUUCGAAUUGAGGUGCGAUUCAUUGUUUCAAUAUUGUUAUGUGUGAUUUGAUCCUUGAUUAGGUCCGUUUUAUGUUAUGGGACUUGUUGAUAUAAUUGGUCGGGGUCCCAGGUGGCCCGGGUGAGUUUCAGAUCGAUUUGGGAUCAUUUUCCUUCAUUUUAGCAUUGCUGGUUCUACUGAGCAUCUGGUUUCCUUGUUCGUGAUUGCAUAGAGUUAACCAGAUCGUGUAGAGUUUCUUGAUGGAUGGGGUUGUUCAUUGCAUUCGUGAAUCCUCAGACGUGUUCGCGUAGGCAGCUGCCAAUUGUGCAAUGUGUCUGUGCAAGUGUUCACGCGUUCGCAUAGUGUUUGGCUGAGCUGGGCAGUCGAUGGCCUCUUCUUUGUGUUCGCGAUGUUUCUACCAUGUUCGCUAGUUCUAUCUUAUGUGUGUAUCGCGUUCGCGUGGAUUUUUCCGCAAAUGCGUAGAGUUAAUUGUAGCAGUGUUGGGUUGUGCAUCGCGAUCGCGAGGGUACUGCCGCGAUCGCGUAAAUUACCACUAGGCAGUGCAUAUAAGUACUCUGUGUUUUCGGACCUUGAGUCAUUUUAUCAUAUUUGAAGCUAUGGAGCUCGGAUUGGAAUGAUUUUUGAAGAAAAUUUCACCAUGUGGAUUGGGUAAGUGUUCUCUACUUAUUUUUGAUUUUAUAUCAUGAAUCUAUCUUCGAUUUUGGCAUUUGGACUAUAAAUUUUAAAGAGGAAAUUGGGGUUUUUUGUCUAAAAUUUCAUAAAACGAAUUUUUGAGUUUUGAACAUCGACUCAGAUUUCGAUUUGAGCGGAACUAGUAUGGUUGGACUCGUAAUUGAAUGAGUUUUCAGAUUUUAUGAGUUUCAUCGGGUUCCGAGGUGCGAGCUCGAGUUUGACUUUUUGGUUGAUUUUGGGCUUUUGAUUAAAGAUUCGACCUUUAUCGAUUGGAUUUAUUUCCUUUGGCAUUAUUUGUUGUAUUUGAGUUGCUUUUAGCUAGUUUUGAGUCGUUCGAAGGUCGGUACGCGCGAGAUGGCAUUUUUGGAGCAUUGUUUGGCUUGCUUGGUGUUGGUUUUGGCUUGUUCGAGGUAUGUAACACUUCUAAACUUGGUGCUGAGGGUAUGAAACCUUAAAUUAUGUAUUAUGUGAUUGAUGUUGAGGUGAUGCACAUG
rnacentral:lncRNA from 1 species